rnacentral:rRNA from 1 species
GGACACGUGGUAUCCUGUCUGAAUAUGGGGGGACCAUCCUCCAAGGCUAAAUACUCCUGACUGACCGAUAGUGAACCAGUACCGUGAGGGAAAGGCGAAAAGAACCCCGGCGAGGGGAGUGAAAAAGAACCUGAAACCGUGUACGUACAAGCAGUGGGAGCACGCUUAGGCGUGUGACUGCGUACCUUUUGUAUAAUGGGUCAGCGACUUAUAUUCUGUAGCAAGGUUAACCGAAUAGGGGAGCCGAAGGGAAACCGAGUCUUAACUGGGCGUUAAGUUGCAGGGUAUAGACCCGAAACCCGGUGAUCUAGCCAUGGGCAGGUUGAAGGUUGGGUAACACUAACUGGAGGACCGAACCGACUAAUGUUGAAAAAUUAGCGGAUGACUUGUGGCUGGGGGUGAAAGGCCAAUCAAACCGGGAGAUAGCUGGUUCUCCCCGAAAGCUAUUUAGGUAGCGCCUCGUGAAUUCAUCUCCGGGGGUAGAGCACUGUUUCGGCAAGGGGGUCAUCCCGACUUACCAACCCGAUGCAAACUGCGAAUACCGGAGAAUGUUAUCACGGGAGACACACGGCGGGUGCUAACGUCCGUCGUGAAGAGGGAAACAACCCAGACCGCCAGCUAAGGUCCCAAAGUCAUGGUUAAGUGGGAAACGAUGUGGGAAGGCCCAGACAGCCAGGAUGUUGGCUUAGAAGCAGCCAUCAUUUAAAGAAAGCGUAAUAGCUCACUGGUCGAGUCGGCCUGCGCGGAAGAUGUAACGGGGCUAAACCAUGCAC